GAGCAAAACAAGCAUCCUUCUAGCGUCCCCCUCCCUGUCUCCUCUCUCCUCCUCUCUCUCUCUACAUCACUGCAAGUAGCAUCAAGGAUCACAGCAUCUUCUUGGCGUGUCCUCCUCCUCUCAUCCCUCACCGGCAGAGCUUGAUCCUGAACCUGCCCUACAGCCAACAGCACCAGGAUCUACUGUUGCUACUGAGAACAAGGAACUUCUCUUCCAGGUCCUUUCUUUGUGCAUUCAUCCCAACACUCAUUGCAAGAGCUCAGACUGGAAAAGUGACAUUACACUGCUCAGUGAAGUAUCAGAAGCUCAGUAUCAUCACCCCCCGCUUCAGUUCUUCAGAUGGUUCGGCCCAGCGCAAUAAGCAACGGAGGGAAUGCCGGGAAAGUGGAGGACUUUGAUAAAGUGAAGCUGUCAUUUAAAAAAAAAAAAAAAAAGAUGGGAAAUGUUAUGAGACUGCAAUAUAAUGUAGAAUAUGUGACAAAAUAUAUCAUUCAAAUACAAUACAAUACAAUUUGGCCUCAAAGGUAUAUUCAUCCUACAA